AUGAACGCUGGCGGCGUGCCUAAUACAUGCAAGUCGAGCGAACAGACGAGGAGCUUGCUCCUCUGACGUUAGCGGCGGACGGGUGAGUAACACGUGGAUAACCUACCUAUAAGACUGGGAUAACUUCGGGAAACCGGAGCUAAUACCGGAUAAUAUAUUGAACCGCAUGGUUCAAUAGUGAAAGACGGUUUUGCUGUCACUUAUAGAUGGAUCCGCGCCGCAUUAGCUAGUUGGUAAGGUAACGGCUUACCAAGGCAACGAUGCGUAGCCGACCUGAGAGGGUGAUCGGCCACACUGGAAUUGAGACACGGUCCAGACUCCUACGGAAGGCAGCAGUAGGGAAUCUUCCGCAAUGGGCGAAAGCCUGACGGAGCAACGCCGCGUGAGUGAUGAAGGUCUUCGGAUCGUAAAACUCUGUUAUUAGGGAAGAACAAAUGUGUAAGUAACUAUGCACGUCUUGACGGUACCUAAUCAGAAAGCCACGGCUAACUACGU
rnacentral:rRNA from 1 species